rnacentral:rRNA from 1 species
GUGAACGCUGGCGGUAGGCCUAACACAUGCAAGUCGAACGGCAGCACAGAGGAGCUUGCUCCUUGGGUGGCGAGUGGCGGACGGGUGAGGAAUACAUCGGAAUCUACUCUUUCGUGGGGGAUAACGUAGGGAAACUUACGCUAAUACCGCAUACGACCUUCGGGUGAAAGCAGGGGAUCGCAAGACCUUGCGCGAUUGAAUGAGCCGAUGUCGGAUUAGCUAGUUGGCGGGGUAAAGGCCCACCAAGGCGACGAUCCGUAGCUGGUCUGAGAGGAUGAUCAGCCACACUGGAACUGAGACACGGUCCAGACUCCUACGGGAGGCAGCAGUGGGGAAUAUUGGACAAUGGGCGCAAGCCUGAUCCAGCCAUACCGCGUGGGUGAAGAAGGCCUUCGGGUUGUAAAGCCCUUUUGUUGGGAAAGAAAAGCACACGGUUAAUACCCGAGUGUUCUGACGGUACCCAAAGAAUAAGCACCGGCUAACUUCGUGCCAGCAGCCGCCGUAACAC